rnacentral:lncRNA from 1 species
AGUCCGGCGAACUCCCUGGUGGCUGCCUAGCUGCCCGCCCGGGCCUCUCCCGACGAGGGUGGCCCUGAGGCUCGCCUUUGUCCUGGAGGCUAGGCAGCGACCAAGGCUCCCCCGUUUUUCGCUGACGGUUCUAGUUCAGCCUCCUCACGCGCCUCCGGGAGCCCCAGUGCUCACCUGGGCGGCGGCGGUCACACCCGAUAACUGACAGGCCCGCAGCAUCUCGGUCAAGCGGACGGCGCUGCUGGUGGACUCGAGCUGCCGCGGCGGCGCGAGUUAAGUGGAGGCGUGCUUGCGUGUGUGCGUGCCCGCGUCCGCGCCCGGCGCACCGGAAGCACAGCGGACGCCACUGCGCACGCGCGGCCCCUUCUACCGUCCCCGACUCCGCGGCUCUUAGAGGGUGGGCUGUGUCCCGGCUGCGGAAACGCCAACUCCAGGCGAUUGGCGCGAAGGAGGCGAAAAGGGCGGAUUCCCUUUCCGGGUCGCGCCCGGGCUGCAGGUCCUUAUCCGGAAGGGGUUACUAGGUGAACACUGCCGGAGGGAGAGCGCUCUGAAAUCCAUUCUUCAGCCGCACGUGGAAAAUGGACAGCUGUGACUCUUAAAGAGAAUUAAAGCAACAAAGCAUCUCAGCCUGCUCUAUGAGCUGGAUAUUUCGUAGGAAGGAGCCGAUUUGGCGAAAGUUACGUAAACAAUGGAAUUGUCUCAGUUUGCGCCUUUGUUUCGUUUGACAGCCCUCCAGGGAGUCAUAGUGAUUGCUGGAGACGGUGAACUAACACUGUGGGGACCCUUGUGCUAAACGUGUCAAGUGGCACAACAAGGAUAGGAACACGGGUCCUUUGGACUCCACAGCUUCUGCUCCUUCCAGAUUAAGCCACACUGCUUUCUC